rnacentral:misc_RNA from 1 species
GCCUCAUUUAUGCCAAUGGACCUCCAGGAAUCGUAGUGCUGCAGUACACCCUUUCUCGAGCCUUCUUGGAUUCGUUGUCCCAGUUGGUGCUUAGAGUUAUUGCCAGCAGACCUAGCCCUUGGACCGCAAGUGCAACUAUAAUUCCUGUCCAGAGACCCUUCCCUCCAAAGUGGUAGACGAAAGCUAAUACUACAGAACAAGGAAUGCCUAUAAGAUAGUAAGCUCCCAAAUUAAUAAUAGCUCCAAGCUUCUGCCAUCCACAUCCUCUAGCUGUGCCUGAAAGCACAGAUUGGAUGCCAUCGAAGAAGUGGGAGGCUGCAAUCAAAAUGAGC